rnacentral:rRNA from 1 species
ACCCGCUGAACUUAAGCAUAUCAAUAAGCGGAGGAAAAGAAACUAACAAGGAUUCCCCUAGUAACGGCGAGUGAAGCGGGAAGAGCUCAAAUUUGUAAUCUGGCACCUUCGGUGUCCGAGUUGUAAUCUCGAGAAGUGUUUUCCGCGCCGGACCGCAUACAAGUCUGUUGGAAUACAGCGUCAUAGUGGUGAAAACCCCGUAACUGAUGCGGAUGCCCGGUGCUUUGUGAUACACUUUCGAAGAGUCGAGUUGUUUGGGAAUGCAGCUCAAAUUGGGUGGUAAAUUCCAUCUAAAGCUAAAUAUUGGCGAGAGACCGAUAGCGAACAAGUACCGUGAGGGAAAGAUGAAAAGCACUUUGGAAAGAGAGUUAACAGUACGUGAAAUUGUUGGAAGGGAAACGCUUGAAGUCAGACUUGCUAUUUGGAAUUCAGCCGCAAGGUGUACUUUUCAAUUCGCAGGCCAGCAUCAGUUUUUGGGGGUGGAAAAGGGUAGAGAGAAGGUAGCAAUUUCGGUUGUGUUAUAGCUCUUUGCUGGAUUCAUCCUUGGGGACUGAGGAACGCAGCACGCUUUUUGCAAGGCUUUCGAGCUUUUCGUGCUUAGGAUGCUGGUGGAAUGGCUUUAAACGGCCCGUCUUGAAACACGG